CGCUCCCACACCGGCGCCCUGACGCCAGAACACCGUUCACUGCACUCAUAGCAGCCAUGAGCUUAUGGGAGGGGUUUGGUGAAGUGAGGCCAGAUCCACAGCGAAAACCUGAAAAGUCAUAACCUGAACGUGAGUUUGAUCAGCUGCAGCAAACAACUGUGACUUAUGAGCCACGUCCAUCCGUCUGUUUUACAUAAGUCCAUUAUUUCCCCAAGGGGAUCAAACAGGAAAUUGGUGCUCAUCCCGUUUGAGAGCUUCAGAACCAAUCACGGGGGGCCUUCGCUCGAACCCAAGGAUCAAGCCUCAAUUUUGGGUGCGUCUCCAGGGACGGAGACAAAUACCAGGCUUACAUAGACUUAAAUCAGAUGACAUCUUUAAUUUAUAACAUGACAUCAAUGCAAAGCAGAGGCUCCUUCUCUGCUGACUUUAAAGUCAUUUGACUGUUAUUGCAGCUCUAAUAAAUGAGCCGAUGAGGUGAAAACAGUGACAUGUCUACUGUGAUACACAUAUUCAAAAUACACAUGAUGGAUCAAAAUUGAUAUUGUUUACAUUUUAAAGCCAGUUGAGGCAAAAUUUAAGAUUUAUGAAACAGGGUUACACUGUUUGAUUUGUUUUGAAAAAAAAAAACCCCAAGAUGAGGACAGCGGCCGUUGCAAAGUAACUC